GUCCCGUCAAGCCGCCGCCACUCCUCUCCUCGGGAUCCCAGCAACCUUCACCCUUAUUUCCUCACUGCACCAACCACCGGCCAGAUCCACCAGCCGCCGCUGCGAUCUGGUCUGUUGGAUCAGGAUCCAACGGCAGCCAGCGACCCCAGCCACCCACGCCUCCUCCCCGCAGCUCUCGAUCCGAUCUGAAUCGAGGCCUACCUCCAGCCUGCACCCGCAUGGAGCUCCUCUACGCCCGAGCUGCACCAGGCCCGAGCGACCCCGCCGGAGAGAGCCACCGCCGGAGCUACUCCGUUCCUCGCCCGAACCAGCAUCGAUGCCGCCAUCUUAUUCCCGGAGGAGUACCUCGACAGGAACGCCGCCCGCGGUGCCCCCGAUCUUCCCCGGCGCGACCCCGUUCCGCUGACGCCCCUACGCCAUGCUGCCAUGCCCGGCCUCCCCGCUCACCCUUCUCUCAUUUGGAUCGAGCUCGCGCUCGCUGCAGCCAUGGACUACGAGCCGCAGCUCGCCGGAUCAGCUCCAGGAAACAACCCCACGCGCUGUGGACCCCUCUGCCGCGCCGUGCUCCUUUCCCGAGCUCCUCCUCGUCGUCCCAACAACAGCACCGGAUCCCUUCCUCCUGACCUCCUCUUCCCCUGCUUCUUCCUUCUCCUUCCCAUCCCUGUCUUUCUCUCAUGUUCUCUCUCUCUCUCAGGUACAUGAACGACGCCAUGGCCGCUGCCUCGAGUUCCUGCCACUGCCAAAGACCCGCCCGCGGUCAGAUCCGCCGCCCCGGACCCGUUCCCGGCCGCCGCCUCUCCUUCCCCUGCUCUGCUUCGAGGAGGAAGAUGUUGCUGCCUCGAUCCACGUCAGCGCGUCGCUGCGCGUUGACACCGCUGUCACCUGGGCUGCGUGGCUAGCGCUCCUCCCCACCGAACCGAGCCGGCCCAUCUUCUCCUCUCCUUCGACGCAACCGCCGGCCUGCCUCUACCCCCUCUGUAGACGGGCCAAAGCCCAUGGUUGCAGGUGCCGAUGAAACCAUUGUAGAUGACGCAACCAAGCUCAAGUGGGAGCUCGAUGAAGAUCGUGUUUGUUGUGUUGUUUCGUUUCCAGUUGAU